GACGAACGCUGGCGGCGUGCUUAACACAUGCAAGUCGAACGGUAAGGCCCUUCGGGGUACACGAGUGGCGAACGGGUGAGUAACACGUGGGUGAUCUGCCCUGCACUUCGGGAUAAGCCUGGGAAACUGGGUCUAAUACCGGAUAGGACCACUGCCUGCAUGGGUGGUGGUGGAAAGCUUUUGCGGUGUGGGAUGGGCCCGCGGCCUAUCAGCUUGUUGGUGGGGUGAUGGCCUACCAAGGCGACGACGGGUAGCCGGCCUGGGAGGGUGACCGGCAACACUGGGACUGAGAUACGGCCCAGACUCCUACGGGAGGCAGCAGUGGGGAAUAUUGCACAAUGGCGCAAGCCUGAUGCAGCGACGCCGCGUGAGGGAUGACGGCCUUCGGGUUGUAAACCUCUUUCAGCACCGACGAAGCGUAAGUGACGGUAGGUGCAGAAGAAGGACCGGCCAACUACGUGCCAGCCGCCGCGGUAAGAC
rnacentral:rRNA from 1 species